rnacentral:rRNA from 1 species
GCAAGUCUGGUGCCAGCAGCCGCGGUAAUUCCAGCUCCAAUAGCGUAUAUUAAAGUUGUUGCAGUUAAAAAGCUCGUAGUUGAACCUUGGGUCUGGCUGGCCGGUCCGCCUCACCGCGUGUACUGGUCCGGCCGGACCUUUCCUUCUGGGGAAUCGCAUGCCCUUCACUGGGUGUGUCGAGGGUCCAGGACUUUUACUUUGAAAAAAUUAGAGUGUUCAAAGCAGGCCUAUGCUCGAAUACAUUAGCAUGGAAUAAUAGAAUAGGACGUGUGGUUCUAUUUUGUUGGUUUCUAGGACCGCCGUAAUGAUUAAUAGGGAUAGUCGGGGGCAUCAGUAUUCAAUUGUCAGAGGUGAAAUUCUUGGAUUUAUUGAGGACUAACUACUGCGAAAGCAUUUGCCAA